rnacentral:rRNA from 1 species
UCGGACUGGAGUCUGCAACCCGACUCCACGAAGUUGGAUUCGCUAGUAAUCGCGCAUCAGCCAUGGCGCGGUGAAUACGUUCCCGGGCCUUGUACACACCGCCCGUCAAGCCAUGGGAGCCGGGGGCGCCUGAAGUCCGGGACCGCGAGGACCGGCCUAGGGCGAAACUGGUAACUGGGGCUAAGUCGUAACAAGGUAUC